UUAGUGGCGGACGGGUGAGUAACGCGUGGGUAACCUGCCUUACACAGGGGGAUAACACCUAGAAAUAGGUGCUAAAACCGCAUAAGCGCACAGCUUCGCAUGAAGCGGUGUGAAAAACUCCGGUGGUGUAAGAUGGACCCGCGUCUGAUUAGCUUGUUGGCGGGGUAACGGCCCACCAAGGCGACGAUCAGUAGCCGGCCUGAGAGGGCGGACGGCCACAUUGGGACUGAGACACGGCCCAGACUCCUACGGAAGGCAGCAG
rnacentral:rRNA from 1 species